CGCCGGUCUCGGUGCAGCCUAGCGAAAGGUGAUCUGAGAGCUGUUCCUGGCCUCUGCCCCUGCAUCUAUGACAAGUCCCCGCUCCACACUAGGUACACUCCCAGGCCUAGGUGUCUACAGUGAACUGCUGUGUCUUACAGACUUGGAUUGCUCUUUACCGUGUGAACUUGGACAAGAUAAUUCUUCGAGUUUUUUGGAAGAAGGUCCUUCCGCCUCACCACUGCGUCAGCUCAGCUUUGUUGGGGCAACUCCAGGCUUUCA
rnacentral:lncRNA from 1 species